rnacentral:rRNA from 1 species
UGGGGAAUAUUGGACAAUGGGGGCAACCCUGAUCCAGCAAUGCCGCGUGUGUGAAGAAGGUCUUCGGAUUGUAAAGCACUUUCGACGGGGACGAUGAUGACGGUACCCGUAGAAGAAGCCCCGGCUAACUUCGUGCCAGCAGCCGCGGUAAUACGAAGGGGGCUAGCGUUGCUCGGAAUGACUGGGCGUAAAGGGCGUGUAGGUGGUUUACACAGUCAGAUGUGAAAUCCCCGGGCUUAACCUGGGAGCUGCAUUUGAUACGUGUAGACUAGAGUGUGAGAGAGGGUUGUGGAAUUCCCAGUGUAGAGGUGAAAUUCGUAGAUAUUGGGAAGAACACCGGUGGCGAAGGCGGCAACCUGGCUCAUGACUGACGCUGAGGCGCGAAAGCGUGGGGAGCAAACAGGAUUAGAUACCCUGGUAGUGCCACGCUGUAAACGAUGUGUGCUAGAUGUUGGGUAACUUUGUUAUUCAGUGUCGCAGUUAACGCGUUUAAAGCA